rnacentral:rRNA from 1 species
CAGUAGCCGCGGGAAUACAGAGGGUGCGAGCGUUAAUCGGAUUUACUGGGCGUAAAGCGUGCGUAGGCGGCUUCUUAAGUCGGAUGUGAAAUCCCUGAGCUUAACUUAGGAAUUGCAUUCGAUACUGGGAAGCUAGAGUAUGGGAGAGGAUGGUAGAAUUCCAGGUGUAGCGGUGAAAUGCGUAGAGAUCUGGAGGAAUACCGAUGGCGAAGGCAGCCAUUUGGCCUAAUACUGACGCUGAGGUACGAAAGCAUGGGGAUCAAACAGGAUUAGAUACCCCAGUAGUCCCUGUCUCUUAUAC